AUUGAGGAAGCAGAGUACAUUAGGAAGGACAAACAGAAGAGAUCCAGCAUAUAACACCAUGGGAAGAGAAAGCAGGCAUGGGUAAAUGGCAAUACCCAAAUCAAACGGAGAUUCCCAGAGCCAUCCUGAAGCACAAAGUUACUUGUGUACUGCACUAAUUUGAUUGGCAUGUAAUAAAUUCAGCUACACCCAGUCAAACCUCUUCUAUGACAAUGCU
rnacentral:lncRNA from 1 species